rnacentral:rRNA from 1 species
UUAAGCGACUAAGCGUACACGGUGGAUGCCCUGGCAGUCAGAGGCGAUGAAGGACGUGCUAAUCUGCGAAAAGCGUCGGUAAGGUGAUAUGAACCGUUACAGCCGGCGAUGUCCGAAUGGGGAAACCCAGUGUGAUUCGUCACACUAUCGUUAACUGAAUACAUAGGUUAACGAGGCGAACCGGGGGAACUGAAACAUCUAAGUACCCCGAGGAAAAGAAAUCAACCGAGAUUCCCCCAGUAGCGGCGAGCGAACGGGGAGCAGCCCAGAGUCUGAAUCAGCUUGUGUGUUAGUGGAACGGUCUGGAAAGUCCGACGGUACAGGGUGAUAGUCCCGUACACCAAAAUGCACAGGUUGUGAACUCGAAGAGUAGGGCGGGACACGUGGUAUCCUGUCUGAAUAUGGGGGGACCAUCCUCCAAGGCUAAAUACUCCUGACUGACCGAUAGUGAACCAGUACCGUGAGGGAAAGGCGAAAAGAACCCCGGCGAGGGGAGUGAAAAAGAACCUGAAACCGUGUACGUACAAGCAGUGGGAGCACCUUCGGGUGUGACUGCGUACCUUUUGUAUAAUGGGUCAGCGACUUAUAUUCUGUAGCAAGGUUAACCGUAUAGGGGAGCCGCAGGGAAACCGAGUCUUAACUGGGCGUUAAGUUGCAGGGUAUAGACCCGAAACCCGGUGAUCUAGCCAUGGGCAGGUUGAAGGUUGGGUAACACUAACUGGAGGACCGAACCGACUAAUGUUGAAAAAUUAGCGGAUGACUUGUGGCUGGGGGUGAAAGGCCAAUCAAACCGGGAGAUAGCUGGUUCUCCCCGAAAGCUAUUUAGGUAGCGCCUCGUGAAUUCAUCUUCGGGGGUAGAGCACUGUUUCGGCUAGGGGGUCAUCCCGACUUACCAACCCGAUGCAAACUACGAAUACCGAAGAAUGUUAUCACGGGAGACACACGGCGGGUGCUAACGUCCGUCGUGAAGAGGGAAACAACCCAGACCGCCAGCUAAGGUCCCAAAGUCAUGGUUAAGUGGGAAACGAUGUGGGAAGGCACAGACAGCCAGGAUGUUGGCUUAGAAGCAGCCAUCAUUUAAAGAAAGCGUAAUAGCUCACUGGUCGAGUCGGCCUGCGCGGAAGAUGUAACGGGGCUAAACCAUGCACCGAAGCUGCGGCAGCGACACUAUGUGUUGUUGGGUAGGGGAGCGUUCUGUAAGCCUGCGAAGGUGGCCUGUGAGGGCUGCUGGAGGUAUCAGAAGUGCGAAUGCUGACAUAAGUAACGAUAAAGCGGGUGAAAAGCCCGCUCGCCGGAAGACCAAGGGUUCCUGUCCAACGUUAAUCGGGGCAGGGUGAGUCGACCCCUAAGGCGAGGCCGAAAGGCGUAGUCGAUGGGAAACAGGUUAAUAUUCCUGUACUUGGUGUUACUGCGAAGGGGGGACGGAGAAGGCUAUGUUAGCCGGGCGACGGUUGUCCCGGUUUAAGCAUGUAGGCGGAGGUUCCAGGUAAAUCCGGUACCUUUUAACGCUGAGGUGUGAUGACGAGGCACUACGGUGCUGAAGUAACAAAUGCCCUGCUUCCAGGAAAAGCCUCUAAGCAUCAGGUAACAUUAAAUCGUACCCCAAACCGACACAGGUGGUCAGGUAGAGAAUACCAAGGCGCUUGAGAGAACUCGGGUGAAGGAACUAGGCAAAAUGGUGCCGUAACUUCGGGAGAAGGCACGCUGGUGUGUAGGUGAAGUCCCUGCGGAUGGAGCUGAGACCAGUCGAAGAUACCAGCUGGCUGCAACUGUUUAUUAAAAACACAGCACUGUGCAAACACGAAAGUGGACGUAUACGGUGUGACGCCUGCCCGGUGCCGGAAGGUUAAUUGAUGGGGUUAUCCGUAAGGAGAAGCUCUUGAUCGAAGCCCCGGUAAACGGCGGCCGUAACUAUAACGGUCCUAAGGUAGCGAAAUUCCUUGUCGGGUAAGUUCCGACCUGCACGAAUGGCGUAAUGAUGGCCAGGCUGUCUCCACCCGAGACUCAGUGAAAUUGAACUCGCUGUGAAGAUGCAGUGUACCCGCGGCAAGACGGAAAGACCCCGUGAACCUUUACUAUAGCUUGACACUGAACAUUGAGCCUUGAUGUGUAGGAUAGGUGGGAGGCUUUGAAGCGUGGACGCCAGUCUGCGUGGAGCCAACCUUGAAAUACCACCCUUUAAUGUUUGAUGUUCUAACGU